UGUUCGUCAGGCUGCCUCCAUCAAGCUAAAUGGUGAAGAAGUGUGGUUCCCCUAAUAGUUCGGCUGGAGGAGUCGUGUUCUUCUCAACAGGAGCCUUAACUGGACCAAACAGUGUGGAAGGACCCAGAAAAUAAACAAGCUACAUGCGUCUGCUCCAAGGAACUGGAAUCUCCCAUCAAAAGUCAGCAAUUAUGAAAUAAGAAGAAGAUGGUGGAAAGAAGAAAAUAAUUUCUGCAGAAGAAAAACAUCAGCCCUGCUCUGCAUUGUUUCUCCAUAAUAGACAGACAACAGAGCUCCUUCUCCAAGAGACUCGGACAAACAACGCUACAGGAAAUCUUUCCUGCCACAAGCCAUUCGUAGGCCACUUUGUUUCCUUCUUACCAUUUGUCGCCUGGUGGUCCACACCUACGCUGACGUCCACGUCCACUUUCUGAGCGCAUCGCCCGAAGCCCUGGAUGAGCUGCUGCAAAGGUAGUUCAGCGUCCACGCUGGGGUAACAUCUCAGGCCGC